UGGGGAGUCGCCAAGUGGUAAGGCACUGGGUUCUGGACCCAGCAUUCGGGGGUUCGAAUCCCUCCUCCCCAG
rnacentral:tRNA from 1 species